rnacentral:rRNA from 1 species
AUACGGAGGGUGCGAGCGUUGUUCGGAAUCACUGGGCGUAAAGGACGCGUAGGCGGGUUGGCAAGUCAGAUGUGAAAUCCUACAGCUUAACUGUAGAACUGCAUUUGAAACUGCUAACCUAGAGUAUGGGAGGGGGAGAUGGAAUUAGUGGUGUAGGGGUAAAAUCCGUAGAUAUCACUAGGAAUACCGAAAGCGAAGGCGAUCUCCUGGAACAUAACUGACGCUAAGGCGUGAAAGCGUGGGGAGCAAACAGGAUUAGAAACCCGGGUAGUCC